UGAGUUCAAUGAGAAGAUAGCUGAAAACAGUAUUUUGUUUGCUUAACAAUGCAGGAGGAACUUAGGAGGAACUUAGGAAGAAACUGGAGAGGAUAGGUCAAUCUUACCUCUCGAAUCUUGCAGCAACUAUGACAACUUCCUCAAGUUGUUGAUGCGUAAAGAGAGAAGGAUUUGGUGGGUGAUAUUAUAAGGAGUGAAGUUGGUGGCUGUUACUCUCAUGGGUUUGAAAGAUGGUGCAGGCAGCAUAGGGUAUGGUGGAAUGACCACCUACUUGUACUAUGGUAUGGUCUUGGUUACAGGUGAAGGAAAGAAAAAAAGAGCUGCUACUUGCUUUUGUAUUAUGCAGAUUUUUCUUUUGAUUUUGUGUACAUACAUCAGUAUGGCUUAGCUGCAAAAGUGGCGCUGUAGAGGGAGGAAAGCAUGGCUUUUGGUGGCUACAAAAUCUUCUAUCUUGAUUGUGUAUA
rnacentral:lncRNA from 1 species